rnacentral:rRNA from 2 species
CCCCCUAUAGCUAUGAUGCAGUCGAGCGACUGAUUAGAAGCUUGCUUCUAUGACGUUAGCGGCGGACGGGUGAGUAACACGUGGGCAACCUGCCUGUAAGACUGGGAUAACUUCGGGAAACCGAAGCUAAUACCGGAUAGGAUCUUCUCCUUCAUGGGAGAUGAUUGAAAGAUGGUUUCGGCUAUCACUUACAGAUGGGCCCGCGGUGCAUUAGCUAGUUGGUGAGGUAACGGCUCACCAAGGCAACGAUGCAUAGCCGACCUGAGAGGGUGAUCGGCCACACUGGGACUGAGACACGGCCCAGACUCCUACGGGAGGCAGCAGUAGGGAAUCUUCCGCAAUGGACGAAAGUCUGACGGAGCAACGCCGCGUGAGUGAUGAAGGCUUUCGGGUCGUAAAACUCUGUUGUUAGGGAAGAACAAGUACGAGAGUAACUGCUCGUACCUUGACGGUACCUAACCAGAAAGCCACGGCUAACUACGUGCCAGCAGCCGCGGUAAUACGUAGGUGGCAAGCGUUAUCCGGAAUUAUUGGGCGUAAAGCGCGCGCAGGCGGUUUCUUAAGUCUGAUGUGAAAGCCCACGGCUCAACCGUGGAGGGUCAUUGGAAACUGGGGAACUUGAGUGCAGAAGAGAAAAGCGGAAUUCCACGUGUAGCGGUGAAAUGCGUAGAGAUGUGGAGGAACACCAGUGGCGAAGGCGGCUUUUUGGUCUGUAACUGACGCUGAGGCGCGAAAGCGUGGGGAGCAAACAGGAUUAGAUACCCUGGUAGUCCACGCCGUAAACGAUGAGUGCUAAGUGUUAGAGGGUUUCCGCCCUUUAGUGCUGCAGCUAACGCAUUAAGCACUCCGCCUGGGGAGUACGGUCGCAAGACUGAAACUCAAAGGAAUUGACGGGGGCCCGCACAAGCGGUGAGCAUGUGGUUUAAUUCGAGCAACGCGGAGAACCUUACCAGGUCUUGACAUCCUCUGACAACUCUAGAGAUAGGA